rnacentral:rRNA from 1 species
GAGCGGAAAGGCCCUUCGGGGUACUCGAGCGGCGAACGGGUGAGUAACACGUGAGCAACCUGCCCCUAGCUCUGGGAUAGCUCCGGGAAACCGGGAUUAAUACCAGAUACGACCACUUUAGACAUCUGCUGUGGUGGAAAGGAUUCCGGCUAGGGAUGGGCUCGCGGCCUAUCAGCUUGUUGGUGGGGUAACGGCCUACCAAGGCGACGACGGGUAGCCGGCCUGAGAGGGCGACCGGCCACACUGGGACUGAGACACGGCCCAGACUCCUACGGGAGGCAGCAGUGGGGAAUAUUGCGCAAUGGGCGAAAGCCUGACGCAGCGACGCCGCGUGCGGGAUGAAGGCCUUCGGGUUGUAAACCGCUUUCAGCAGGGACGAAGCGAAAGUGACGGUACCUGCAGAAGAAGCGCCGGCUAACUACGUG